AUUGAACGCUGGCGGCAGGCCUAACACAUGCAAGUCGAACGAGUGGCGGACGGGUGAGUAAUGUCUGGGAAACUGCCUGAUGGAGGGGGAUAACUACUGGAAACGGUAGCUAAUACCGCAUACCAUCGGAUGUGCCCAGAUGGGAUUAGCUAGUAGGUGGGGUAACGGCUCACCUAGGCGACGAUCCCUAGCUGGUCUGAGAGGAUGACCAGCAACACUGGAACUGAGACACGGUCAAAACUCCUACGGUAGGAAGCAGUGGGGAAUAGUGCACAAUGGGCGCAAGCCUGAUGAGGCCAUGCCGCGUGUAUGAAGAAGGCCUUCGGGUUGUAAGGUACUUUCAGCGGGAAGGCGUUACCCAAAGAAGAAGCAACGGCUAACUCCGUGCCAGCAGCCGCUGUAAUUC
rnacentral:rRNA from 1 species